rnacentral:rRNA from 1 species
UGGGGAAUUUUGCGCAAUGGGCGAAAGCCUGACGCAGCGACGCCGCGUGGGUGAUGAAGGCCUUCGGGUUGUAAAGCCCUGUGGGGAGGGAAGAAUAAGGGGCGGCUAAUACCCGCACCGAUGACGGUACCUCCUUAGCAAGCACCGGCUAACUCUGUGCCAGCAGCCGCGGUAAGACAGAGGGUGCAAACGUUGUUCGGAAUUACUGGGCGUAAAGCGCGUGUAGGCGGUCUAGCAAGUCGGAUGUGAAAGCCCUUGGCUCAACUGAGGAAGUGCAUUCGAAACUGCGAGACUUGAGUCCCGGAGAGGAUGGUGGAAUUCUCGGUGUAGAGGUGAAAUUCGUAGAUAUCGAGAGGAACACCGGUGGCGAAGGCGGCCAUCAGGACGGUGACUGACGCUGAGACGCGAAAGCAUGGGGAGCAAACAG